rnacentral:tRNA from 1 species
UGUAAUAUAAUGUUAGAUGCAUUUGAAACUUUGAAUUUCAAAGACUUAGUUAAAUUCUUUGUGUUACAA